GUGAGGAAUAUUGCACAAUGGGCGAAAGCCUGAUGCAGCAACGCCGCGUGAGUGAUGAAGGCCUUUGGGUCGUAAAACUCUGUCCUUGGGGAAGAAAAAAAUGACGGUACCCUUGGAGGAAGCCCCGGCUAACUACGUGCCAGCAGCCGCGGUAAUACGUAGGGGGCGAGCGUUAUCCGGAAUUAUUGGGCGUAAAGAGUGCGUAGGUGGUUUUGUAAGCGUAGGGUGAAAGGCAGUAGCUCAACUAUUGUUAGCCCUGCGAACUGUGAGACUUGAGUGCAGGGGAGGAAAGUGGAAUUCCUAGUGUAGCGGUGAAAUGCGUAGAUAUUAGGAGGAACACCAGUGGCGAAGGCGACUUUCUGGACUGUAACUGACACUGAGGCACGAAAGCGUGGGUAGCAAACAGGAUUAGAUACCCGGGUAGUCC
rnacentral:rRNA from 1 species